rnacentral:rRNA from 1 species
AUUGAACGCUGGCGGCAUGCCUUACACAUGCAAGUCGAACGGUAACGCGGGGCAACCUGGCGACGAGUGGCGAACGGGUGAGUAAUGCAUCGGAACGUGCCCAGUAGUGGGGGAUAGCCCGGCGAAAGCCGGAUUAAUACCGCAUACGACCUACGGGUGAAAGGGGGGGAUCGCAAGACCUCUCGCUAUUGGAGCGGCCGAUGUCAGAUUAGGUAGUUGGUGGGGUAAAGGCCUACCAAGCCGACGAUCUGUAGCUGGUCUGAGAGGACGACCAGCCACACUGGGACUGAGACACGGCCCAGACUCCUACGGGAGGCAGCAGUGGGGAAUUUUGGACAAUGGGCGCAAGCCUGAUCCAGCCAUGUCGCGUGCGGGAAGAAGGCCUUCGGGUUGUAAACCGCUUUUGUCAGGGAAGAAAUCUUCUGAGUUAAUACCUCGGGAGGAUGAUGGUACCUGAAGAAUAAGCACCGGCUAACUACGUGCCAGCCGCCGCAGUAAUAC